CUUUGAAAUCAACUAAUUUAGUUCAAGCUCAAGUUCAAGUGACCUGUUCUGACGGACAUAAGCGCUUAAUCGGAGUAUGUCGCUCAAUAUAUCACAAUAUAGUGUUUCGAGUGCGGUUGUCCCAACAGCAUCGGAGAGAAUUAUCAUUAACGUAUAGAAGUUAACAAGCGCGCGACGAGAUAUAGGCGAUAAUUUAAUCUAUAAAUAAUAAUUGAUGUGACAAUAUGCUGUAUCGCGAGAAACUGGUCUUCGCGGUUCUUCUACUGUUCUAUUGUGUGUUUGAAAUAAGCUAACCACGUUUGUUUUGGUAAAAUUUUGCAGUAAUGCGGAGUGAUCACCAAGAAAUUGUCUAAAUAUUAAACUUCGAAUGACGAAAAAGAAGGUUUGAGUUCAAAUCCGACCAUCAAAUUGUCACCAACCUUUCGAACAAUGAGCGAUGACGUUGUGGUAGAACAGGUGAUCGAAACAAAUAUUACCACUUUGGACUGUUUGAUGCUGCUUGGGUUCCUUCUGAUGGUAAUGAUCGUAGCUGUUAUUCUCAGAUUGGUUCUGGAAUUGGCCCGAGCCCGUAUGACGACAGAUCAGCAAUAUGAAGAGCAGCACAGGGAUGGAUCCUGGUUCAGUUUGGUAUUUGCAAGACAGUGGUGGCGAUGAUUGUAGGAAAUAAGAACGAAUAUUCAAAGUCCCAUAUUCUAUGCCUUCGGUGCGGCUAUAAAAGGA